rnacentral:rRNA from 1 species
GGAAUCUUGGGCAAUGGGCGCAAGCCUGACCCAGCGACGCCGCGUGGGGGAGGAAGUCCUUCGGGACGUAAACCCUACAAGUGAGGGACGAAUAAGAUUGAGUUAAUAUCUCAAUUGAUGACGGUACCUCAAGUAAGCCCCGGCUAACUACGUGCCAGCAGCCGCGGUAAUACGUAGGGGGCGAGCGUUGUCCGGAAUUACUGGGCGUAAAGCGCGCGUAGGCGGCUUGGCAAGUCGGUUGUGGAAGCCUCGAGCUCAACUCGGGAAUUGCGACCGAAACUGCUAGGCUCGAGUACGGUAGGGGGUGCUGGAAUUCCUGGUGUAGCGGUGAAAUGCAUAGAUAUCAGGAGGAACACCAGUGGCGAAGGCGGGCACCUGGGCCGUCACUGACGCUGAGGCGCGAAAGCUAGGGGAGCAAAC